rnacentral:misc_RNA from 1 species
GAAAUGCGAUAAGUAGUGUGAAUUGCAGAAUUCAGUGAAUCAUCGAAUCUUUGAACGCACAUUGCGCCCCUUGGUAUUCCAUGGGGCAUUCCUGUUCGAGCGUCAUUUGUACCCUCAAGCUCUGCUUGGUGUUGGGUGUUUGUCCCGUCUCCGCGCGUGGACUCGCCCCAAAGUGAUUGGCAGCCGGCGUACUGGUCCCGGAGCGCAGCACAUGUCGCGCAAACGAGUUCCUUGGUACGGCGGCGUCCAUAAGCCCCUCUCUCACGCUCUUGACCUCGGAUCAGGUAGGGAUACCCGCUGAACUUAAGC